rnacentral:rRNA from 1 species
AGAGUUUGAUCCUGGCUCAGGAUGAACGCUGGCGGCGUGCUUAACACAUGCAAGUCGAACGAACCUUCGGGUUAGUGGCGGACGGGUGAGUAACGCGUGAGAAUCUGCCCUCAGGAGGGGGAUAACGGUUGGAAACGGCCGCUAAUACCCCAUAUGCCUACUGGUGAAAUGAAUUUCGCCUGAGGAUGAGCUCGCGUCUGAUUAGCUUGUUGGUGAGGUAAUGGCUCACCAAGGCUUCGAUCAGUAGCUGGUCUGAGAGGAUGAUCAGCCACACUGGGACUGAGACACGGCCCAGACUCCUACGGGAGGCAGCAGUGGGGAAUUUUCCGCAAUGGGCGAAAGCCUGACGGAGCAGCGCCGCGUGAGGGACGAAGGCCUCUGGGCUGUAAACCUCUUUUCUCAAGGAAGAAGAUAUGACGGUACUUGAGGAAUAAGCCACGGCUAAUUCCGUGCCAGCAGCCGCGGUAAUACGGGAGUGGCAAGCGUUAUCCGGAAUUAUUGGGCGUAAAGCGUCCGCAGGCGGCUUUUCAAGUCUGCUGUUAAAACGUGGAGCUUAACUCCAUCAUGGCAGUGGAAACUGAAAGGCUUGAGUAUGGUAGGGGCAGAGGGAAUUCCCGGUGUAGCGGUGAAAUGCGUAGAUAUCGGGAAGAACACCAGUGGCGAAGGCGCUCUGCUGGGCCAUUACUGACGCUCAUGGACGAAAGCCAGGGGAGCGAAAGGGAUUAGAUACCCCUGUAGUCCUGGCCGUAAACGAUGAACACUAGGUGUCGGGGGAAUCGACCCCUUCGGUGUCGUAGCUAACGCGUUAAGUGUUCCGCCUGGGGAGUACGCACGCAAGUGUGAAACUCAAAGGAAUUGACGGGGGCCCGCACAAGCGGUGGAGUAUGUGGUUUAAUUCGAUGCAACGCGAAGAACCUUACCAGGGUUUGACAUCCUGCGAACCUCUUAGAAAUUUGAGGGUGCCUUCGGGAAUGCAGUGACAGGUGGUGCAUGGCUGUCGUCAGCUCGUGUCGUGAGAU